rnacentral:rRNA from 1 species
GGACGAACGCUGGCGGCGUGCUUAACACAUGCAAGUCGAGCGGUAAGGCCCUUUCGGGGGUACACGAGCGGCGAACGGGUGAGUAACACGUGGGUGACCUGCCCUCAGCUCUGGGAUAAGCCUGGGAAACCGGGUCUAAUACCGGAUAUGACUCCAUGACGCAUGUUGUGGGGUGGAAAGCCUUGUGCGGCUGAGGAUGGGCCCGCGGCCUAUCAGCUUGUUGGUGGGGUGANGGCCUGCCAAGGCGACGACGGGUAGCCGGCCUGAGAGGGCGACCGGCCACACUGGGACUGAGACACGGCCCAGACUCCUACGGGAGGCAGCAGUGGGGAAUCUUGCGCAAUGGGCGAAAGCCUGACGCAGCGACGCCGCGUGAGGGAU